GAAAAGAAAAAAAAAAGUUAGAUCUUUUCUCUCCGCCAUCUCCCUUCGUCGAUUCCUCUCUCAAACCCGCCUGGUUUUCCCUAAUAUCUUCCCUCCGAUCAUCCGCUGACGAGGCAUCCUCCAUGCCCUAGCGCCCCCACAUCCAUGGGACGCCAGCGCGCCUCAUCUGGUGUGACGGCCCGGUGUCUCCGCACCCGCGACUGCCGGCUUGGGAUCGACGGUGAUCCUCGACCUCGGGACCUCAGCUUCGACGCCCACUAUUUAGUAAGGCUGCCCCCUCCUCCCCUUCGCUCUUACCCUUCCCGUUGCUUUGCUGCCUACCUACAUGCCUGCCGCACCUAUCACGCGAGACCAUGGGCGCUACGCACACCGUUUCUAUGCCCGUUGCCCCGACGUCUUAGCGCUACCUCCAGCUGUUUGAUGGAAUCUACGGCGGGAUUCUUGGCUGUGCAUCCAUUAUCUCUGGGAAGGACAGUCGCAAUUGUGGGUUCCUUUCCAGGUUAAAAUCCUGGUAUGAGGAGAGGGAAGCACUACAAUGAAACACAGUCGGGUUUAAGAAAUAAUAGUUCAUACAAUCAAAUUUGAGGCCUGUCGUCCAUCUUCAGAGGUUUAUUCGCGAAGAAUUUUAAACGUUCACUUCUUAUAGGGAAAAGGUGGCUCAUAAGUCAUAACUGGAAAGCAUUGACAAGACCCUCUUUCUGAUAUCUCCAAUUUUGAUCCACACUCAAGAACGAAUACAGAGAUGUGCUUAUCAUUGUAAUUUGGGAAAUGUGCUAAAACCAUCCACAGCCGCCGCAAAUGCCGUUCGGAUCUCGCUGCAGCCGCCGCUAUCCUCCGUCUAUUCUGACUUCAAGGCCGCCCCAACUCCGCACGCUCCGCCACCUCAUCCUCGUCAUCUCCGCUGUCCCCGACGACCCAUCGCCCCACGUUCAACAAAAAUCGGUCGCCCUAGACGACCCGCACCCGCUGGACAUCGCCGCCUCCACCGCCGGCGUCCGGAGCCACCACCCCGUCGGCGCCCUACUUCCCUGUGAGCGCCAACCUCUCUAUUUACAUCGGAGUGAUGGAUAUUAUCAAGUUAUUUUCUGAGAGCGUUACAAUCUUCAUCAAGUAAUAUCAG